GACGAACGCUGGCGGCGUGCUUAACACAUGCAAGUCGAACGGAAAGGCCCUGCUUUUGUGCUGUUCUCGGUUGGCGAACGCGUGCGUAACACGUGUGUAACCUGCUCUUCUCUUUGGUAUAACUUCAGGUAACUGGGGCUACUACCGUAUAGCAGCUCCUCCUCCAUGGUGGGCGUUGGAAAUUUUCGGCCGGUGGGGAUGGAUGCGCGGCUUACCGGCUUGUUGGUGGGGUAGUUGCUUACCAAGGCUUUGACGGGUACCCGGCCUGAGAGGGUGAACGGCGACAUGGGGACUGAGAGACGGCCCAGACUCCUACGGGAGGCAGUAGGGGGGAAUAUGGCACAAUGGGCGGAAGCCUGAUGCAGAAACGCCGCGGGCGGGAUGACGGCCUUCGGGUUGUAAACCGCUUUCGCCUGUGACGAAGCGGGAGUGACGGUAAUGGGUAAAGAAGCACCGGCUAACUACGUG
rnacentral:rRNA from 1 species